AACGAACGCUGGCGGCAUGCCUAACACAUGCAAGUCGAACGAGACCUUCGGGUCUAGUGGCGCACGGGUGCGUAACGCGUGGGAACCUGCCCUUAGGUUCGGAAUAACUCCCCGAAAGGGGUGCUAAUACCGGAUAAUGUCUUCGGACCAAAGAUUUAUCGCCUUUGGAUGGGCCCGCGUUGGAUUAGCUAGUUGGUAGGGUAAAAGCCUACCAAGGCGACGAUCCAUAGCUGGUCUGAGAGGAUGAUCAGCCACACUUGGACUGGGACACGGCCCAGACUUCUACGGGAGGCAGCAGUGGGGAAUAUUGGACGAUGGGCGAAAGACUGAUCCAGCAAUGCCGCGUGAGUGAUGAAGGCCUUAGGGUUGUAAAGCUCUUUUACCCGGGAUGAUAAUGACAGUACCGGGAGAAUAAGCGCCGGCUAACUCCGUG
rnacentral:rRNA from 1 species